UGGGGAAUAUUGCACAAUGGGCGAAAGCCUGAUGCAGCGACGCCGCGUGAGGGAUGACGGCCUUCGGGUUGUAAACCUCUUUCAGCAGGGACGAAGCGCAAGUGACGGUAACUGCAGAAGAAGCACCGGCUAACUCCGUGCCAGCAGCCGCGGUAAUACGUAGGGUGCAAGCGUUGUCCGGAAUUACUGGGCGUAAAGAGUUCGUAGGCGGUUUGUCGCGUCGUUUGUGAAAACCAGCAGCUCAACUGCUGGCUUGCAGGCGAUACGGGCAGACUUGAGUACUGCAGGGGAGACUGGAAUUCCUGGUGUAGCGGUGAAAUGCGCAGAUAUCAGGAGGAACACCGGUGGCGAAGGCGGGUCUCUGGGCAGUAACUGACGCUGAGGAACGAAAGCGUGGGUAGCGAACAGG
rnacentral:rRNA from 1 species